rnacentral:rRNA from 1 species
UACGUAGGGUGCGAGCGUUAAUCGGAAUUACUGGGCGUAAAGCGUGCGCAGGCGGCGCGUUAAGACAGGUGUGAAAGCCCCGGGCUUAACCUGGGAACUGCGUUUGAAACUGGGAGACUUGAGUGUGGCAGAGGGGGGUGGAAUUCCACGUGUAGCAGUGAAAUUCGUAGAUAUCGGGAGGAACACCGGUGGCGAAGGCGGCGACCUGGGUCGAUACUGACGCUGAGGCGCGAAAGCGUGGGGAGCAAACAGG